CAAAUUUCUUAACUACUGUCAUUUGAAUCAAAGGCUACAUCAUGGGAAAGUCCGAAUAUUGAAAAUAAAUAUUGUUCUACUCAGUAUCAAACAUGCCUUAUGGUUGGACUUUGUGAUCAGCUACGAGAAAAAGUCAUCAUCCCCAAGAGAAAAGUUUACAAUGACUGAGAAUUAACAGAAAGCAGUUACUACAGGGAUCUGCAUCUUUGUUGAUUCUUCAACCUAAUCUCCAACUGGGGGGAUCACCCUCCAUCUAAGUAGAGACAGGUGCUCUGAGUUCCAACAAAAUUUACCCUCAUUAGAAUUUUGGAUAGCACAAGACAUUUUACAAGGCAUGUACAAGAAUUCCCAAAAUUGUUAUGAUGCCUGGGAAAGGAUAGUAGGNNUUCUGUUGCUGGUACAUUUGAUGUUGUAUUGGCAAUUGAUUCCUUCGGCUCAGCCUCUGUUGCAGAAAUCAAAGAUGCAGAUUGAAUCUUGCCAGCAUGCUCCAGGCGCAUCAGAAUAACCCCCCUUGCAAAGCGGGACUGUAUUGAAAUAUCCCGAACUUUAAUUCUAUUUACAGUACCACUCUGGCUUACUAGAACCAAUUGUUCAUCACUUUCGCCAUCUUCUGCCAAUGAAAAUCCAACAACAAAGACUGCUGCCAAGCGGUCCUCUGCAGAAAACUUACAACCAAUUAAACCAACUCUAUUUAAAGGUGAUAGUCGAAAACUACCAAGUGGAACCCGCUUUCCAUAACCACUCUCAGACACGAAUAACAACCAGGGACCACUGCCUUUGUUGUGGCUCCUAGGAUCUUCGAACACCCUCUCCAAGUCUCUUCGCAUGGCAGCUGGUAUUAUGUCCAUGCUUGCCAUCUUAUCUCCUUUCCUUAGUCUCAUGGCCACUCCACCUCGGGUAUUUCGGCUUAGUGAUCGAAUAUUGUCACAGGAACUUAGCAUGACCAUUCCAUUUUGCGAAGCCAUAGCAACAAUAUCAUCAUUUGUACAACAGCGAACCCAUUUUAGUUCAUCACCAGGAACCAAUUGAAUUGCUAUUAUUCCUGUGGAACGUAUGGCUGAAAAAACAUUCAGAGACACUUUCUUGAUGUAACCAUUGACUGUGAGCAUUAAUAGAAACUGAUCUCCAGCAAAAUCACUCACAGGAAUAAUGGAAGUUAUUCU
rnacentral:misc_RNA from 1 species